rnacentral:rRNA from 1 species
CCUACGGGUGGCAGCAGUGAGGAAUAUUGGUCAAUGGACGAGAGUCUGAACCAGCCAAGUAGCGUGAAGGAUGACUGCCCUAUGGGUUGUAAACUUCUUUUAUAUGGGAAUAAAAUGUUCCACGUGUGCGCUUUUGUAUGUACCAUAUGAAUAAGGAUCGGCUAACUCCGUGCCAGCAGCCGCGGUAAUACGGAGGGUCCGAGCGUUAUCCGGAUUUAUUGGGUUUAAAGGGAGCGUAGGUGGAUUGUUAAGUCAGUUGUGAAAGUUUGCGGCUCAACCGUAAAAUUGCAGUUGAAACUGGCAGUCUUGAGUACAGUAGAGGUAGGCGGAAUUCUUGGUGUAGCGGUGAAAUGCUUAGAUAUCACGAAGAACACCGAUUGCGAAGGCAGCUCACUGGACUGCAACUGACACUGAGGCACGAAAGUGUGGGUAUCAAACAGGAUUAGAUACCCUUGUAGUC